GAUGAACGCUAGCUACAGGCUUAACACAUGCAAGUCGAGGGACAGGCGCACGGGCGAGUAACACGUAUCCAAACUGCCCUUUACUCGGGGAUAGCCUUUCGAAAGAAAGAUUAAUACCCGCUAUAAAGGAUUGGGAUGCGUUCCAUAAGGUUGUGGGUGAGGUAAUGGCCAACAAAGCAUUCGAUGGAUAGGGGUUCUGAGAGGAAGGUCCCCCACAUUGGAACUGAGACACGGUCCAAACUCCGACGGGAGGCAGCAGUGAGGAAUAUUGGUCAAUGUGCGCUAGCCUGAACCAGCCAAGUAGCGUUAAGGAUGAAGGCUUAUGGGUCGUAAACUUCUUUUAUAUAAGAAUAGGGAUUAUAUGAAUAAGGAUCGGCUAACUCCGUGCCAGCAGCCGCGGUAAUUC
rnacentral:rRNA from 1 species